rnacentral:rRNA from 1 species
CAACUUUUAGCAACGGAUCUCUUGGCUCUCGCAUCGAUGAAGAACGCAGCGAAAUGCGAUAAGUAAUGUGAAUUGCAGAAUUCAGUGAAUCAUCGAAUCUUUGAACGCACCUUGCGCUCUUUGGUAUUCCGAGGAGCAUGCCUGUUUGAGUGUCAUG